GCAUGAACUUAGCUUGCUAAGUUUGAUGGCGACCGGCGCACGGGUGAGUAACACGUAUCCAACCUGCCGAUGACUCGGGGAUAGCCUUUCGAAAGAAAGAUUAAUACCCGAUGGCAUAGUUCUUCCGCAUGGUGGAACUAUUAAAGAAUUUCGGUCAUCGAUGGGGAUGCGCUCCAUUAGGUUGUUGGCGGGGUAACGGCCCACCAAGCCUUCGAUGGAUAGGGGUUCUGAGAGGAAGGUCCCCCACAUUGGAACUGAGACACGGUCCAAACUCCUACGGGAGGCAGCAGUGAGGAAUAUUGGUCAAUGGACGAGAGUCUGAACCAGCCAAGUAGCGUGAAGGAUGACUGCCCUAUGGGUUGUAAACUUCUUUUAUACGGGAAUAAAGUGAGGCACGUGUGCCUUUUUGUAUGUACCGUAUGAAUAAGGAUCGGCUAACUCCGUGCCAGCAGCCGCGGUAAUACGGAGGAUCCGAGCGUUAUCCGGAUUUAUUGGGUUUAAAGGGAGCGUAGGCGGACGCUUAAGUCAGUUGUGAAAGUUUGCGGCUCAACCGUAAAAUUGCAGUUGAUACUGGGUGUCUUGAGUACAGUAGAGGCAGGCGGAAUUCGUGGUGUAGCGGUGAAAUGCUUAGAUAUCACGAAGAACUCCGAUUGCGAAGGCAGCUUGCUGGACUGUAACUGACGCUGAUGCUCGAA
rnacentral:rRNA from 1 species